AACGAACGCUGGCGGCGUGCUUAACACAUGCAAGUGGAGCGACGAACCGGGGCUUGCCCCGGGGCAGAGCCGCGAACGGGUGAGUAACACGUGGGUCACCUGCCUCGAUGACCGGGACAACCCGAGGAAACUCGGGCUAAUACCGGAUGUGCUCUUCGGAGGAAAGGUAGCUUUGGCUUCCGCAUCGAGAUGGGCCCGCGGAGCAUUAGCUUGUUGGUGGGGUAACGGCCUACCAAGGCGACGAUGCUUAGCUGGUCUGAGAGGACGAUCAGCCCCACUGGGACUGAGACACGGCCCAGACUCCUACGGGAGGCAGCAGUGGGGAAUCUUGCGCAAUGCGCGAAAGCGUGACGCAGCAACGCCGCGUGGGGGAAGAAGGCCUUCGGGUUGUAAACCUCUUUCAGUUGGGACGAAGCUUCGGCGGUGAACAGCCGCCCGGAGUGACGGUACCUUCACAAGAAGCCCCGGCUAACUACGUGCCAGCAGCCGCCGUAA
rnacentral:rRNA from 1 species